CAUUCUAGGUUUAACGCCUGCAAUGCAGGCCUUUGGGAAG
rnacentral:ncRNA from 1 species